rnacentral:rRNA from 1 species
GUGGGGAAUAUUGCACAAUGGGGGAAACCCUGAUGCAGCGACGCCGCGUGAAGGAAGAAGGUCUUCGGAUCGUAAACUUCUAUCAGCAGGGAAGAAGACGUGACUGUACCUGACUAAGAAGCCCCGGCUAACUACGUGCCAGCAGCCGCGGUAAUACGUAGGGGGCAAGCGUUAUCCGGAAUCACUGGGUGUAAAGGGUGCGUAGGCGGUAGGGCAAGUCAGAUGUGAAAGCCCGGGGCUCAACUCCGGGACUGCAUUUGAAACUGUCUUACUAGAGUGCAGGAGAGGAAAGCGGAAUUCCUAGUGUAGCGGUGAAAUGCGUAGAUAUUAGGAAGAACACCAGUGGCGAAGGCGGCUUUCUGGACUGUAACUGACGCUGAGGCACGAAAGCGUGGGGAGCGAACAGGAUUAGAAACCCUAGUAGUCC